CCCACCGCACUUACACCUGAACUUGUCUCCAGCACUGCGGACACCCGGGUGACACAUUCUUUCGGAGAGGGAGGGCAAGACUUUUCUCCGGAGCCUCUGGCAACUCGUGGAGUCUAUAUAAGAUCUUCAAAGAAAGAGAUAUCCUUUCGAGGCAACACAAGAAGCCAACUACAAAUGAGAAUAUUAUUCUCUUGGUGCAGGGAUUGUUGCAUGUGGACCCCAUCAGCCUUGAAAAGUCCAUGCAAUGGAGUGAAACUUGACAAAGCAGUUGCAGUCGUUCACCAGUGAAGCAAAGUCUUCUUCCUAGUCACGCAGGUUAUAUUAUGCCCUUCAUGAUUUUAAUUUCUCUAUGAAGCAUCAGUUCCUGAAGGAAAACACACAACCCCAAGCAGAAGAAGAGUUUCUUCUUUAUAUCCCAAAAUACCCUGUGCAAAUCUCUACCGUGGCUCUUGAAACUACAUAUAGCAGUGGGCUCAACUUUUUCGUUUUUGAGCAUAGAAUUCUCAGCAGAACAUUUGAAGGCAUUAACUCAUAUUUAUCGAUGUCACUUUGUUCACUGGGUAGACCUUUAGCCUUGUGUUUCUGUUUGAGAGGGGACACUUCACACCCUGAUUUAUACAUUCAGGAGGCAUACAUCUGAAGCUUUUCAAUAAAUGCACACUUUCUCAACAGCUCUGCCUCAACGUUGCUUCUUUUACUCCCUAUGGUUUUUAUCCUGCAAUACACCACAUUGCAUGAACUAUUCUACUUAUUUGUUCUCAUAGUUUGUAUCCUAGUUUGUAAUAAAUAAAGUUUUCAAUGUGACUAAAUUUUGCCACAUGCCUGUGGAAGAUGCACAGUACAUCAGAGUGUCACUUUGCUGUGGUUGGGAACCAGUGUUCUAUCAAAAUUGUUGAGUUUUUUUUUUCCUAUGGACUAUGGUUAAAUGAAUAAAAGAUUGAACUUGGUAUAAGAUACUGUAAAUAUUAAAGUCUAUAUAUU
ensembl:lncRNA MPPED2-AS1 MPPED2 antisense RNA 1